GACGAACGCUGGCGGCGUGCUUAACACAUGCAAGUCGAACGGAAAGGCCCUGCUUUUGUGGGGUGCUCGAGUGGCGAACGGGUGAGUAACACGUGAGUAACCUGCCCUUGACUUUGGGAUAACUUCAGGAAACUGGGGCUAAUACCGGAUAGGAGCUCCUGCUGCAUGGUGGGGGUUGGAAAGUUUCGGCGGUUGGGGAUGGACUCGCGGCUUAUCAGCUUGUUGGUGGGGUAGUGGCUUACCAAGGCUUUGACGGGUAGCCGGCCUGAGAGGGUGACCGGCCACAUUGGGACUGAGAUACGGCCGAGACUCCUACGGGAGGCAGCAGUGGGGAAUAUUGCACACUGGGCGGAAGCCUGAUGCAGCAACGCCGCGUGCGGGAUGACGGCCUUCGGGUUGUAAACCGCUUUCGCCUGUGACGAAGAGUGAGUGACGGUAAUGGGUAAAGAAGCACCGGCUAACUACGUG
rnacentral:rRNA from 1 species